rnacentral:rRNA from 1 species
UCUACGGGUGGCUGCAGUGGGGAAUAUUGCACAAUGGGCGCAAGCCUGAUGCAGCCAUGCCGCGUGUGUGAAGAAGGCCUUCGGGUUGUAAAGCACUUUCAGCGGGGAGGAAGGCGGUGGGGUUAAUAACCUCAUCGAUUGACGUUACCCGCAGCAGAAGCACCGGCUAACUCCGUGCCAGCAGCCGCGGUAAUACGGAGGGUGCAAGCGUUAAUCGGAAUUACUGGGCGUAAAGCGCACGCAGGCGGUCUGUCAAGUCGGAUGUGAAAUCCCCGGGCUCAACCUGGGAACUGCAUUCGAAACUGGCAGGCUAGAGUCUUGUAGAGGGGGGUAGAAUUCCAGGUGUAGCGGUGAAAUGCGUAGAGAUCUGGAGGAAUACCGGUGGCGAAGGCGGCCCCCUGGACAAAGACUGACGCUCAGGUGCGAAAGCGUGGGGAGCAAACAGGAUUAGAUACCCCGGUAGUC